UACGUAGGUGGCAAGCGUUGUCCGGAUUUAUUGGGCGUAAAGCGCACGCAGGCGGUCUGUCAAGUCGGAUGUGAAAUCCCCGGGCUCAACCUGGGAACUGCAUCCGAAACUGGCAGGCUAGAGUCUUGUAGAGGGGGGUAGAAUUCCAGGUGUAGCGGUGAAAUGCGUAGAGAUCUGGAGGAAUACCGGUGGCGAAGGCGGCCCCCUGGACAAAGACUGACGCUCAGGUGCGAAAGCGUGGGGAGCAAACAGGAUUAGAUACCCUGGUAGUCCACGCCGUAAACGAUGUCGACUUGGAGGUUGUGCCCUUGAGGCGUGGCUUCCGGAGCUAACGCGUUAAGUCGACCGCCUGGGGAGUACGGCCGCAAGGUUAAA
rnacentral:rRNA from 1 species